rnacentral:rRNA from 1 species
UACGGAGGGUGCGAACGUUAAUCGGAAUUACUGGGCGUAAAGCGCACGUAGGCGGUCCGUUAAGUGGGGUGUGAAAUCCCCGGGCUCAACCCGGGAAUUGCGCUCCAAACUGGCGGGCUAGAGUGUGGUAGAGGGGGGUAGAAUUCCCUGUGUAGCGGUGAAAUGCGUAGAUAUAGGGAGGAAUACCUGUGGCGAAGGCGGCCCCCUGGACCAACACUGACGCUGAGGUGCGAAAGCGUGGGGAGCAAAC